CAUAAAGCGUCGAUCAAGAAGAGUAGCUUGCCCGGAACCACAUAAGAGAGAAAAGCGUUUGGUGAAAGCUUUUUUGGGGAAGGAAAGUGAAGUAGCUUGUGAGCAAGUUGUGUGAAGGUCCUCGGAUGGACUGGGUAGCGCAGCUCGGAGCAUUCUCCGUUAUCAAAAAGAGAGACAGGAAUCCGUUUCCUGUAAUUUAGGUGGUACCGCGAUCAUAUCGUCCUGCAU
rnacentral:ncRNA from 1 species